UACAGAGGUCUCAAGCGUUGUUCGGAUUCAUUGGGCGUAAAGGGUGUGUAGGUGGCGCGCUAAGUCGGGUGUGAAAUUUCGGAGCUUAACUCCGACACUGCAUUCGAUACUGGCGUGCUUGAGGACUGGAGAGGAGACUGGAAUUCAUGGUGUAGCAGUGAAAUGCGUAGAGAUCAUGAGGAAGACCAGUGGCGAAGGCGGGUCUCUGGACAGUUCCUGACACUGAGACACGAAGGCCAGGGGAGCAAACGGGG
rnacentral:rRNA from 1 species